UAAGGAAUAUUGGUCAAUGGAGGCAACUCUGAACCAGCCAUGCCGCGUGCAGGAAGACGGCCCUAUGGGUUGUAAACUGCUUUUAUCCGGGAAUAAACCUCUGCUCGUGAGCAGAGCUGAAUGUACCGGAAGAAUAAGGAUCGGCUAACUCCGUGCCAGCAGCCGCGGUAAUACGGAGGAUCCAAGCGUUAUCCGGAUUUAUUGGGUUUAAAGGGUGCGUAGGCGGCAGUUUAAGUCAGAGGUGAAAGACGGUAGCUCAACUAUCGCAGUGCCUUUGAUACUGAAUUGCUUGAAUGAACUAGAGGUAGGCGGAAUGAGACAAGUAGCGGUGAAAUGCAUAGAUAUGUCUCAGAACACCGAUUGCGAAGGCAGCUUACUAUGGUUUUAUUGACGCUGAGGCACGAAAGCGUGGGGAUCAAACAGG
rnacentral:rRNA from 1 species